rnacentral:rRNA from 1 species
CCGAGUCUUAACCGGGCGUUAAGUUGCAGGGUAUAGACCCGAAACCCGGUGAUCUAGCCAUGGGCAGGUUGAAGGUUGGGUAACACUAACUGGAGGACCGAACCGACUAAUGUUGAAAAAUUAGCGGAUGACCUGUGGCUGGGGGUGAAAGGCCAAUCAAACCGGGAGAUAGCUGGUUCUCCCCGAAAGCUAUUUAGGUAGCGCCUCGUGAAUUCAUCUCCGGGGGUAGAGCACUGUUUCGGCUAGGGGGCCAUCCCGGCUUACCAACCCGAUGCAAACUGCGAAUACCGGAGAAUGUUAUCACGGGAGACACACGGCGGGUGCUAACGUCCGUCGUGAAGAGGGAAACAACCCAGACCGCCAGCUAAGGUCCCAAAGUCAUGGUUAAGUGGGAAACGAUGUGGGAAGGCCCAGACAGCCAGGAUGUUGGCUUAGAAGCAGCCAUCAUUUAAAGAAAGCGUAAUAGCUCACUGGUCGAGUCGGCCUGCGCGGAAGAUGUAACGGGGCUAAACCAUGCACCGAAGCUGCGGCAGCGAACGUAUCACCCAAGACAACUUUACGGAGUUGACGAUUGACGGAGCGAAGCGACGUCAAAGCGUUCAUUAAAGUCGAGUUGGCUUAGGGAUACGUUCGUUGGGUAGGGGAGCGUUCUGUAAGCCUGUGAAGGUGUGUCGUGAGGCAUGCUGGAGGUAUCAGAAGUGCGAAUGCUGACAUAAGUAACGAUAAAGCGGGUGAAAAGCCCGCUCGCCGGAAGACCAAGGGUUCCUGUCCAACGUUAAUCGGGGCAGGGUGAGUCGACCCCUAAGGCGAGGCCGAAAGGCGUAGUCGAUGGGAAACGGGUUAAUAUUCCCGUACUUGGUGUUACUGCGAAGGGGGGACGGAGAAGGCUAUGUUGGCCGGGCGACGGUUGUCCCGGUUUAAGCGUGUAGGUGUGUGUUCCA